rnacentral:rRNA from 1 species
UAGGGAAUCUUCCGCAAUGGGCGAAAGCCUGACGGAGCAACGCCGCGUGCGUGAUGAAGGUCUUCGGAUCGUAAAACUCUGUUAUUAGGGAAGAACAAAUGUGUAAGUAACUAUGCACGUCUUGACGGUACCUAAUCAGAAAGCCACGGCUAACUACGUGCCAGCAUCCGCGGUAAUACGUAGGUGGCAAGCGUUAUUCGGAAUUAUUGGGCGUAAAGCGCGCGUAGGCGGUUUUUUAAGUCUGAUGUGAAAGCCCACGGCUCAACCGUGGAGGGUCAUUGGAAACUGGAAAACUUGAGUGCAGAAGAGGAAAGUGGAAUUCCAUGUGUAGCGGUGAAAUGCGCAGAGAUAUGGAGGAACACCAGAAGCGAAGGCGACUUUCUGGUCUGUAGCUGACGCUAAUGUGCGAAAGCAUGGGGAUCAAACAGG